GCCCGGGUGGCUCAGUCGGUUAAGCGACCGACUUUGGCUCGGGUCGUGAUCUCACAGUUUGUGAGUUCGAGCCCCACGUCGGGCU
rnacentral:tRNA from 1 species